rnacentral:rRNA from 1 species
AUUGAACGCUGGCGGCAGGCUUAACACAUGCAAGUCGAGCGAGCGGCGGACGGGUGAGUAAUGUCUGGGAAACUGCCUGGUGGAGGGGGAUAACUACCGGACACGGUAGCUAAUACCGCAUACCAUCAGAUGGGCCCAGAUGGGUUUAGCUAGUAGGUGGGGUAAUGGCUCACCUAGGCGACGAUCCGUAGCUGGUCUGAGAGGAUGACCAGCCACACUGGAACUGAGACACGGUCCAGACUCCUACGGGAGGCAGCAGUGGGGAAUAUUGCACAAUGGGCGCAAGACGGAUGCAGCCAUGCCGCGUGUGUGAAGAAGGCCUUCGGGUUGUAAAGCACUUUCAGCGGGGAGGCGGUACCAGCAGAAGAAGCACCGGCUAACUCCGUGCCAGCAGCCGCGGUAAUUC